UUGGCCUACGGGACGCAGCAGUGGGGAAUAUUGCACAAUGGGGGAAACCCUGAUGCAGCAACGCCGCGUGAAGGAAGACGGUUUUCGGAUUGUAAACUUCUGUUCUUAGUGAAGAAGAAUGACGGUAGCUAAGGAGCAAGCCACGGCUAACUACGUGCCAGCAGCCGCGGUAAUACGUAGGUGGCAAGCGUUGUCCGGAAUUACUGGGUGUAAAGGGAGCGCAGGCGGGAAGCCAAGUCAGGUGUGAAAACUAAGGGGUUAACUU
rnacentral:rRNA from 1 species